rnacentral:lncRNA from 1 species
AUGGAGGCCAAGGUCCGCCAGAGCCGGCGCUCGCGCGCGCAGCGGGACCGUGGCCGGCGCCGGGAGGCGGCCCGCGACGCCCGCGACCAGAGCGCGUCGUCGGGGGAUGAGCCUGAGCCCGGGCCCGGCAAGGAGAACACGGGCCUGCCCCGCGCGCCCCCGCCCCGCGCCGCCGCCGCGCGCCCCCCGCGCCGCCGCCGCCGCGAGUCCAGCUCGCAGGAGGAAGAGGUCAUCGACGGCUUCGCCAUUGCCAGCUUCAGCACGCUGGAGGCCUUGGAGAAGGACAUGGCCCUGAAGCCACACGAGCGGAAGGAGAAGUGGGAACGUCGCCUUGUCAAGAAGCCCCGGGAGGCAGAAAACUGCCCAUCUGCAGAGCCAAGUGAGAACGGGCGGCCCCUGGAGGCAGGCAGCUCUGAGCAGGACCUGGAGACCCCCUGUGACCGAGGGAAGAAGAAGGUCCCUCUGCAGCCCACCAAGCAGGUGUGCUCCCCAGAAGGGGGGCCGCUCCCAGCCAACCACUGGGACCAGAACGGCCCGGCCCAGCGCCAGCAGCAGCUCCAGCCCAGCCAGCCCCAGGGGUCACUCCCAGCCCCGUGUCAGCGCUGCCAGCCCCGUCGGGCUUCCCCGGACCCCGGGCAGCCCUGCCAGCCCCAGCGGCCACUCCCGGGUCAGCGCAGCUGGCCCCAGCGGUCACUUCUGGGCCCAAGACAGCCCUGCCAACCCCGGCGGUCACUUCUGGGCCCAGGUCAGCCCUGCCGGCCCCAGCAGCUGCUUCCAGCCCCAGAUCAGCCCUGCCGGCCCCAGCGGUCACUCCCAGCUCAGCCCCACCAGCCACGUUGGGCACUAGCCCCUAGGCAGCGCUUCCGGCGCCUGCGCUCCCUCCUGGCCCCGUGGCAGCGCUGCCGGCCCCUACGGUCCAUCCUGGCCCCGUGUUACCUCUGUCGACCCCUACGGUCCAUCCUGGCCCCGUGGCACCGCUGCCGGCCCCUGCGGUCCAUCCUGGUUCCAUGCCACGUCUGCCGGUCCCUGCUGGCCCUCUGGCACCGCUGCUGGCCUGUGCGGUCGUGGAUGGGCCCGUGUUUCCGUGGCCAGCCCAGCAGGGCAUCCUCAGGACAGCGGUGCCGGCCCCUUCGGUCACUGCUAGCCCAGUGCCAGCGGUGUCAGCCCCCCCAGUCACUCCUCAUGCUGCGUCCACGUCGCCGGCCUACCAGCUCACCCUCAGGCCAGUGCUGCUGCCCCCGGCGGGCGUUCCUAGCCCCAUGCCAGCCCCGAAGAUCCCUUCUGGGCCAGCCCAGCCGCCCCCGGCGGUCACUGCUUGGUCUCAAUCAGCCCCAACAGUUAGUUGAAGCCUCAGAGCAGCCUGGCCCACCCAAACCUUCACUGCUGGGCCCUGGACAGCCAUGCCAACAAAAGCGGCCACUCAUGGACCCAGAACAGCCUCACCCGCCCAAGCGGCCACUCUUGGGCCCAGAACAGCCCUGCCGACGAAAGCGGCCACUCUUGGGCCCAGAACAGCCCUGCCAGCCCCUGCGGUCACUUUUGGGCCCAAGCCAGCCCUGCAAGCCCCAGCCGUUACUCCCCUUACCUGAGCGCCCCUCACUCCUAGGUCGGCCAACUCCACCCCGCCGGCCUCUCCUGGGGCCCCCGAGCCAGCCACGGCAGUCCCUGCUGAACCUGGUGCGGGCCCAUCAGCCCCAGCUCUCCCUCCUGGCCCCAGGCCAACCCUGCCGGCCCCUGAGGUCACGACGGACUCGAUCCUCCACCCCUGCGGUGGCCCGCCAGGCCCCAUCCGUGAGCCCUGGAGCCUGA